ACAAAUAAAAAAGUAGGGGUGGGAGAUGAAAAGAGAACAUUUUGAGGGACUUUAACGUACAUCUAAGCAAAAAUGAGUACCAAAAUGCAAAUAAACAAACUUUUCCCGCUUCCCCCUUCCCGCCGAUAUUUGUCCGAUGAACCGGAGAGCAGAACAAUUCCACUAUUCUGAAGAUGGAAGAGAAUCAGUUGAUGGAUUCAGGAGUUUCUCAGCUGAACUCAAAUGCCUUCUUCAUCGACCCGGUUCGAAUACUCAACCGUUCUUAUACCCGGUUUAGGGUUUCGCCUUCUACGUAUUACUCUCGCUUCUUCGAUUCCUUGAACUCAGCACAAUCUCCAAAAGCUUCCGAAGAUUUUAGAAAACGAAAACGUAAGAGGAAGAAGAAGAUUCAAUCUCUAAACGAGCGCGAACAAAUAGCCGAUCGUCGUCACCAGGAGGUGAAGCCAUUCUUGUUGAAAGCGCAUGAAGCUCUGCUCGAAGCUACUGAUCUUUUGAAAGUUUUGAGAAAUUUGAGGAAUGAUGGAUGUGCCGUGGGGGAAUGUAAGGAGUUGUCGCAAGAAACUAGUGAACUUUCCUUUAUGGAGCUUGGAGGUGUUUGGCAAGCUCCAUUGUAUGAGAUCGUUCUUAAUUAUCAGCAAGAUGAUAAGACUUUGCAAAAUGGAGGUUCUCCGCUUGCUCAGAGUAUUGAACAAAGAGAGACCCCUGUAUUUAAUAAUCUUGUUGCCAAUGAGGGAAGCUAUGAUAUAGAGGCUGAGAUUUUUAAUCACAAGUAUAUUAUUCCCAAAAGGAGUUGUUUUUAUAUGUCUGAUAUGCAGCAGAUUGACAGCUUAAUCCCAGCUGGUUCUGAUUGUGGCUUCAAUCUCAUAGUUAUAGACCCCCCUUGGGAAAAUGGUAGUGCUCGUCAGAAAGUUAGGUAUCCAACUUUGCCUAGCCGAUACUUCUUAUCUCUCCCUGUCAAGCAACUUUGUCAUACGGCUGGAGCACUUGUUGCAUUGUGGGUUACCAACAGGGAGAAGUUGCGAGAUUUUGUGGAAAAUGAUUUAUUUCCCAAAUGGGGAGUAACAUAUGCUGCUAGCUUUUAUUGGUUGAAGGUCAAGGCCAAUGGAAUGUUGACUGGUGAAUUGGAUCUCUUUCAUCACCGACCAUAUGAAUGUCUUCUCCUAGGUUACUGUGAUGGAAAGGAUACACAUUCUGGGAAUUUAACAAGAUCGAAUCCUAUACCAGAUAAUCGAGUGUUCAUUAGUGUUCCUGGUGAUUAUUCAAGGAAACCCCCCAUUGGAGAGCUGCUGCUAGAUUAUGUGCCGGGGUCUAUGCCUGCUCGUUGCAUUGAACUGUUUUCUAGAGAAAUGAUAGCUGGCUGGACUUCUUGGGGGAAUGAACCUCUUCAUUUUCAGGAUUCGAGAUAUUUUGUUAGUAAGACAACAGAAAAUUGAUGUAUCCUGAUAGAAACGCCUCUUACUGGGAAGUUUCAGUCCAAACUAUAGGCAUCCCGACGAUUUCCCGUUAUAUGUGGUUUUCUCCCUCCUGUUUGAAUAUCAGCAAAAGAUUAAGAGAUGUGAUUGUUGUACUUCUAUCAAUUUGCCAAAAGAUUAAAAGAGUAUAGACUUCAAGGGAGUACCUGGUGGCUUGCAAUAUCAGCUGACAUUCUGGAGGAACUUUGGACAAAGUUUAAAUUUCAUUGUGGAUGUGAUUGUUAAUGACUUUGAAACAACUACUGGAAAGGUCAGGACUCUGGUAUUACUUACUGCGAUGUCGAAUCAUUUAUGCUUUAUCUCACUAAUUCAAAGACAGGCAAGAACAUUCACCACAGUAUUUUGGACAAGCAACUCAAAUUCUUUGAAAUGAUGCUAUACAUUUUGAUGUAUAUAGUAAUAUAAGAAUGAAGAUUUCUAAGGUGUUUUCCACA